CGAAAAUACCCAUCUCAGGUUUUUUUGUGAUGAUUGAAUACAGUAAUGCAUGUGAAAGUGCCUGAUAAAUGAUGACGCAACUGAGGCCUAGAAAUAACUGCCAAUGUAACAAAUCCAGACCCUGGCAGGAUAUGCAUUUGAACCAAGGCUAUCCGGCUCCAAAAAAGAAUUAACUUUGCGGAAGGACUCUUACAUUCUCCAGUGAAACCUUUACUCUGGGAGCAAUUUGACUGAGUCAUAGCUGAGUUCAUUAAGCCUUAGUGCCUCAGGGAUGCAGCUGAGGACUCAAUGGCAGGUUUUCAGGGAUGUAAACCAUUGUGUGGACAAUAAAAUAGAGAACACUAAGGCUGUGGAAAUUUAUCUCCCUGUGAAGCUUGCCUUUUGGCUUUUUCCGAAGGAGAAUAUCCCCAGUUCACUUGUAGCACUGCUCAGUAUCCAGGAGGGCUUGUUAUGUAAUCCCAUCCUGUUUGAAGCUUCUUGAGCUUCAGUAAUCUCAGUUCCCUGUGAAGCACCAGACACAGGAGGACUAUUUUAUAUCAGCUUUAAAAAUACGGGAAAAAUAUUGGAUGCAUAUUCCUUGAACUUAGAAACUAUGAGUCUAAGGUCAUAGCUGGGGAGAGAUUGAUCUGAUUAUAAUAAGAUCUGUGACUUAGUAGUGGAGGAGUUGGUUCUAACCUGGCAAGGCACAACCCACCCACAUGAUCUUCUGUAAAUCUUCUAGGGUAGCGUCAACCAGCAACCUUUGCCAGUGUAUGAUAGCUAAGGGUUUGCUUUUUAGACUUUAUUAAAAGUCCAGCUAGAGAAAUAAUUCUGAAAAUAAUUUGCAAUACAUUGUUCAUUUACUUCUGGGAUCUAAGUUUUAUUGUGGGCUUAGGUCAGUCCACUAGGAGACAACAUUUUUGCCAAUUUGCCAGAUUGCCUUUAUGUGAUUGUGUUUUACUUAUCCUCAGAGUUUAAGAUGUCAGACCUGGGAUCCAGCCCCAACUCUGUCAAUUAUGGGCUGUGGGAUGUUGGGAGAGCGGCUUAAUCAAUUUAAGCUUCCAUUUCUGAAUUUGGAAAAUGUGAUAGUAAAUACUUCAUAGAGCUUUUGUAAGAUUUUAAU